rnacentral:rRNA from 1 species
CGAACGCUGGCGGCAUGCCUACCACAUGCAAGUCGAACGAGACCUUCGGGUCUAGUGGCGCACGGGUGCGUAACGCGUGGGAACCUGCCCUUAGGUUCGGAAUAACUCCCCGAAAGGGGUGCUAAUACCGGAUAAUGUCUUCGGACCAAAGAUUUAUCGCCUUUGGAUGGGCCCGCGUUGGAUUAGCUAGUUGGUAGGGUAAAAGCCUACCAAGGCGACGAUCCAUAGCUGGUCUGAGAGGAUGAUCAGCCACACUGGGACUGAGACACGGCCCAGACUCCUACGGGAGGCAGCAGUGGGGAAUAUUGGACAAUGGGCGAAAGCCUGAUCCAGCAAUGCCGCGUGAGUGAUGAAGGCCUUAGGGUUGUAAAGCUCUUUUACCCGGGAUGAUAAUGACAGUACCGGGAGAAUAAGCUCCGGCUAAC